GACGAACGCUGGCGGCGUGCCUAAUACAUGCAAGUCGAACGCAGUGGGGACGGGUGAGUAACACGUGGGUAACCUCCCAUCAGAGGGGAUAACCCUUGGAAACAGGUGCUAAACCGAUACUGAUGGAUGGACCCGCGGUGCAUUAGCUAGUUGGUGAGGUAACUGCUCACCAAGGCCACGAGGCAUAGCUGACCUGAGAGGGUGAUCGGCCACACGGGGACGGAGACACGGCCCAGACUCCUACGGGAGGCAGCAGUGGGGAAUCUUCGGAAAUGGUCGAAAGCCGGACCGAGCAACGCCGCGUGAGUGAAGAAGGUUUUCGGAUCGUAAAACGCUGUUUUUAGAGAAGCGGUAUCUAACCAGAAAGCCACGGCUAACUACGUGCCAGCAGCCGCGGUAAUUC
rnacentral:rRNA from 1 species